CUGGAAAAGUGUCCAUGCUCCUGGAGAUGCACGGAAGGCGAUGUCCUGACAGAAGAGCGUGCUUGCUUGGGCACAGAGGUGGUUUGACCAAGGCAAAUUUACCAGUGAGAUUUGAGAUAUUUAUAAAAAUAAAAACCUCCAAAGAGUGAAGAUGAGAACCUGGGGUGGCUUCGUGACCAUGGGGGCUGACUGCCCUUAUCUUCAACCAGUACAGCAAAAGCAAGGUUUGGGGGCUGUGACUGUGGAGUGGUUCUCACUGUACAAGACCCCACUGACCCCACG